rnacentral:rRNA from 1 species
AAAGCGCGCGUAGGUGGUUCGUUAAGUUGGAUGUGAAAUCCCCGGGCUCAACCUGGGAACUGCAUUCAAAACUGACGAGCUAGAGUAUGGUAGAGGGUGGUGGAAUUUCCUGUGUAGCGGUGAAAUGCGUAGAUAUAGGAAGGAACACCAGUGGCGAAGGCGACCACCUGGACUGAUACUGACACUGAGGUGCGAAAGCGUGGGGAGCAAACAGGAUUAGAUACCCUUGU